GUCCAUGUAGCUAAUUGGUAGUUGCGCGCCCCGGAGUACGUCUGGGGCGAUGCCGGUUCGAGUCCGGUCAUGGACA
rnacentral:tRNA from 1 species